rnacentral:rRNA from 1 species
CCCGGGCUCAACCUGGGAACUGCAUUCGAAACUGGCAGGCUUGAGUCUUGUAGAGGGGGGUAGAAUUCCAGGUGUAGCGGUGAAAUGCGUAGAGAUCUGGAGGAAUACCGGUGGCGAAGGCGGCCCCCUGGACAAAGACUGACGCUCAGGUGCGAAAGCGUGGGGAGCAAACAGGAUUAGAUACCCUGGUAGUCCACGCCGUAAACGAUGUCUACUUGGAGGUUGUGCCCUUGAGGCGUGGCUUCCGGAGCUAACGCGUUAAGUAGACCGCCUGGGGAGUACGGCCGCAAGGUUAAAACUCAAAUGAAUUGACGGGGGCCCGCACAAGCGGUGGAGCAUGUGGUUUAAUUCGAUGCAACGCGAAGAACCUUACCUGGUCUUGACAUCC